UCUCGUUGGUGACCAGCGGAGGGUCAUUACCGAGUCUAACAACUCAUCAACCCUGUGAACAUACCUAAACGUUGCUUCGGCGGGAACAGACGGCCCCGUAACACGGGCCGCCCCCGCCAGAGGACCCCCUAACUCUGUUUCUAUAAAUGUUUUUUCUGAGUAAACAAGCAAAUAAAUUAAAACUUUCAACAACGGAUCUCUUGGCUCUGGCAUCGAUGAAGAACGCAGCGAAAUGCGAUAAGUAAUGUGAAUUGCAGAAUUCAGUGAAUCAUCGAAUCUUUGAACGCACAUUGCGCCCGCCAGUAUUCUGGCGGGCAUGCCUGUUCGAGCGUCAUUACAACCCUCAGGCCCCCGGGCCUGGCGUUGGGGAUCGGCGGAGCCCCCCGUGGGCACACGCCGGUCCCCCMAAUACAGUGGCGGUCCCGCCGCAGCUUCCAUUGCGUAGUAGCUAACACCUCGCAACUGGAGAGCGGCGCGGCCACGCCGUAAAACACCCAACUUCUGAAUGUUGACCUCGAAUCAGGUAGGAAUACCCGCUGAACUUAAGCAUAUCAAUAAGCGGAGGAAAAGAAACCAACAGGGAUUGCCCCAGUAACGGCGAGUGAAGCGGCAACAGCUCAAAUUUGAAAUCUGGCUCUCGGGCCCGAGUUGUAAUUUGUAGAGGAUGCUUUUGGUGAGGUGCCUUCCGAGUUCCCUGGAACGGGACGCCAUAGAGGGUGAGAGCCCCGUCUGGUUGGACACCGACCCUCUGUAAAGCUCCUUCGACGAGUCGAGUAGUUUGGGAAUGCUGCUCUAAAUGGGAGGUAUAUGUCUUCUAAAGCUAAAUACCGGCCAGAGACCGAUAGCGCACAAGUAGAGUGAUCGAAAGAUGAAAAGAACUUUGAAAAGAGAGUUAAAAAGUACGUGAAAUUGUUGAAAGGGAAGCGCUUGUGACCAGACUUGGGCUUGGUUGAUCAUCCGGGGUUCUCCCCGGUGCACUCUUCCGGCCCAGGCCAGCAUCAGUUCGCCCUGGGGGACAAAGGCUUCGGGAAUGUGGCUCUCUCCGGGGAGUGUUAUAGCCCGCUGCGUAAUACCCUGUGGCGGACUGAGGUUCGCGCAUCGCAAGGAUGCUGC
rnacentral:rRNA from 1 species